AACGAACGCUGGCGGCAGGCCUAACACAUGCAAGUCGAGCGCCCGGAUUUAUCCGGGAGCGGCGCACGGGUGAGUAACGCGUGGGAACAUGCCCUGAAGUACGGAACAACCUGGGGAAACCUUGGCUAAUACCGUAUACGCCCUGAGGGGGAAAGAUUUAUCGCUUUGGGCUUGGCCCGCGUUGGAUUAGCUGGUUGGUGUGGUAACGGCGCACCAAGGCGACGAUCCAUAACUGGUCGGAGAGGAUGACCAGUCACACUGGGACUGAGACACGGCCCAGACUCCUACGGGAGGCAGCAGUGGGGAAUAUUGGACAAUGGGCGAAAGCCUGAUCCAGCCAUGCCGCGUGAGUGAAGAAGGCCUUCGGGUUGUAAAGCUCUUUCAGCGGGGACGAUGAUGACGGUACCCGCAGAAGAAGCCCCGGCUAACUUCGUGCCAGCCGCCGCAGUAA
rnacentral:rRNA from 1 species